GGGGAAUUUUCCGCAAUGGGCGAAAGCCUGACGGAGCAAUACCGCGUGAGGGAUGACGGCCUAUGGGUUGUAAACCUCUUUUUUCAGGGAGGAAUAAAUGACGUGUACCUGAAGAAUAAGCAUCGGCUAACUCCGUGCCAGCAGCCGCGGUAAGACGGAGGAUGCAAGUGUUAUCCGGAAUCACUGGGCGUAAAGCGUCUGUAGGUGGUUUAAUAAGUCAACUGUUAAAUCUUGAAGCUCAACUUCAAAAUCGCAGUCGAAACUAUUAGACUAGAGUAUAGUAGGGGUAAAGGGAAUUUCCAGUGGAGCGGUGAAAUGCGUAGAGAUUGGAAAGAACACCGAUGGCGAAGGCACUUUACUGGGCUAUUACUGACACUCAGAGACGAAAGCUAGGGUAGCAAAUGGGAUUAGAUACCCCAGUAGUC
rnacentral:rRNA from 1 species